rnacentral:rRNA from 1 species
GAUGAACGCUGGCGGCGUGCCUAAUACAUGCAAGUCGAGCGAAUGGAUUAAGAGCUUGCUCUUAUGAAGUUAGCGGCGGACGGGUGAGUAACACGUGGGUAACCUGCCCAUAAGACUGGGAUAACUCCGGGAAACCGGGGCGAAUACCGGAUAAUAUUUUGAACUGCAUGGUUCAAAAUUGAAAGGCGGCUUCGGCUGUUACUUAUGGAUGGACCCGCGUCGCAUUAGCUAGUUGGUGAGGUAACGGCUCACCAAGGCAACGAUGCGUAGCCGACCUGAGAGGGUGAUCGGCCACACUGGGACUGAGACACGGCCCAGACUCCUACGGGGGGCAGCAGUAGGGAAUCUUCCGCAAUGGACGAAAGUCUGACGGAGCAACGCCGCGUGAGUGAUGAAGGCUUUCGGGUCGUAAAACUCUGUUGUUAGGGAAGAACAAGUGCUAGUUGAAUAAGCUGGCACCUUGACGGUACCUAACCAGAAAGCCACGGCUAACUACGUGCCAGCCGCCGCGGUAA